rnacentral:rRNA from 1 species
GACGAACGCUGGCGGCGUGCCUAACACAUGCAAGUCAACUUGACUGAAGGAGCAAUCUGACAGUAGAGUGGCGCAAGGGUGCGUAACGCGUAAGUAACUUGCCCAAGGUAAGGAAUAACGUCGAGAAAUCGGCGCUAAUACCUCAUAAUGCAGCGGAUCCGCAUGGAUAUGUUGUUAAAGGUUUACCGCCUUGGGAUAGGCUUGCGUCUGAUUAGCUAGUUGGUGUGGUAACGGCACACCAAGGCUCCGAUGUCUAGGGGUUCUGAGAGGAUUAACCCCCACACUGGUACUGAGACACGGACCAGACUCCUACGGGAGGCAGCAGUAAGGAAUAUUGGGCAAUGGACGCAAGUCUGACCCAGCCAUGCCGCGUGAAGGAUGACGGCCCUAUGGGUUGUAAACUUCUUUGUACGGGAAAAAACCUUCGAACGUGUUCGAAGCUGAUGGUACCGUAAGAAUAAGCAUCGGCUAACUCCGUGCCAGCAGCCGCGGUAAU